rnacentral:lncRNA from 1 species
AGGGACUUGAGCAGAGGGGAAACAUUUGGAACAGCUGCAGUAAGGAAUGCAAGAGGGAGUCAACAAGCAAUAAAUAAAAGAAUUGCUGAGAUACAAUGAGAGUCCAGCUGAGGUCAGUUGACUCGGUCACUAUUGUUUAGUGACUUGCUUCAGUUUAUCAAUAUGGGAAGAGAAAUUGGGCAAUAGGAGUUAUUGAAAUGUGGAGAUCGGUAAAGUGGAAAUAACAGAAGAAUGAAGAGGGAGACACAGGCAGGUUAAAGAAGAGGACUCUAGCUAUCCGCUGACUUAGCCCUCUCUCCGUCCUAUCCAGUAUCCACUAAAACCACAAUUAUGCAUUUAGAGUUGUACAAACAGAUGCACAGAAGCCUCAGGGCCUAGACUGAGAAAAGAAAUGGAAUGGAACUUCAGUGGCCUGUGGGACUGUAAUAAAAGAUCUAAUAUUUGUGUCAUUGGAUUCCAGAAAGAGAGGAGAAAGAGGGAGAAGCAGAAAAAGUAUUCAAAACAAAAAUGGUGGAAAACUUUUCAAAUUUGCCAAAAGACAUAAGUGUACAUAUUUUAAAAGCUGAAGGAAUUCCAAAUAGGAUAAAUGCAAACAAACCCACACCAAGAAACACCCUAGAGCAGCUUCUGAAAACUAAAGACAAAGAAAGAAAACUUGAAAGCAGUGAGAAAGAAGUCGCCUCACCUAUGGGGGAAAAACAAUUAGAAUGAUAGCAGUCUUCUCAUCAGAAAUCGUGGAAGCCAGAAAGAAGUGGUUCAACAUUUUUCAAGUGCUGAAAGGAAAGAGUCCCAUAUACUGAGGAAAUAUUCUUCAGGAACCAAGGAAAAAUCAAGGCAGUUACAGAUGCAGAAAAAGUAAGAAAAUUUGUUAUCAGCAGAUCUAAAAGAAUGACCAAAGGAAGUUACCUAAACAGAAAGGAAGUGAUAAUGAGAGACGAUGGAAUCUUGGAACAUUGAGAGGGAAGAAAGAACAAUAGAAAGAGGAAAAACACACGUAAAUAUAUCCUUCUCCUGUUGAGUUUCCCAAAUUUUAUUUCAUUGUUGAAACAAAAUAUAUGACACUAUUUGCUAUGGUUCUAGAUAUAUAGAGAGGAAAUAUUGAAGAUAAUUAUAAGUGGUAGAGAGUAAAGGGAUGUUAAAAUAGGACAAGUUUCUACACUUCACCCAAACUGCUAAAUAUCUUGUGGAUAAUGAGAGCCAAUUUUCUCUGUCAGGGACAGGAGUUAAAAAUAAAGGGAGAGACAAGGCCAGGACAGAUCUUGUGGUAUUGCACCGGACUCAGAAAUAUUAAUACAAAAUCAUGCUUAAAAAUUUUAAAAUAUGUACAGUUAGAUAUCAAUAUAAAUGUGUGAGUACGUAUGCAUACAUACAUUUAUUUCCUAGCUCAAAUUAUUCUAAAAGUAAUCACACCCAAAUAACAAUGAAUAAAUCAAAGUGCUGAGAUAUUUAUUUAUAAAUAGCAUUUUCCAAUGAAAGGGAGUGGAUGUUUCUAGGUCUGAGGCAGAGACAGUACAAGAUGAACUUGGAACAUCAAUCAUCAAUCAUAUGAACAUCAAUCAAAGUAAGAAAGUGCUCAAAAAGGAUAAUGCCAUAUCAAAAGAGCUCAGGAGUCAACUUGAAAAGCUACCAGUGGCCAAAUCUGGGACAUUUUUAGCCACAACAUAAUAAUGCUACACAAUAAUAAUAAUACAUUAGUAUUAUAGCCCAUAAACUAAAAAAGCAAAUAUUCAUUGGUUUACCCUGAUAUGAAUAAUAAAUAAGUAAAUAAAAAGAUGGAAAUAUGGAUAGAUAGAAAAUAGAAAGGGGAAAACUUUUCCUUACAGUACAAUUUGAAUAUAUAAAUAGAGAAAGAAUCAUAGAAAUUGAAAAUCAUCAUUUGUAGACACACUGUAAUAAUUGUCCUUGGCAAGUAUCAUCAACGUAUGCUAAAAUUAGUUGGGGUAAGUAUUAUGAGAAACAGGAUAUUUGGCAAGUUCAAAGUAUCUCUCCAUAAGGUGCUUAUCAAUUAAAAUUAAAAUUCAUUGAUUUUAUGGGGCAGAAAGUUGGCAGACACCACCUUAACACAGUUAUCAAAGCUAUAUCACUAAUAAUGAGACACGUUGUCAUUAUGUACUUGAUAAAUGAGGCACUGAGGAGGGUACAACUAAUUUCUGUGUUACUCUCGCCAAAAAAUGUAUGACUCAGACUGAAGGAGAAAUGUAAACUAAAUACAAUGAGGGAUCCUGGUUAUUAGGAUGGUAAAAAGAAAUUAUUGGGAC